GAGUCAGCGAGCUCUGUCUGUAUUCUUUUCACCGCGAAGGCUCAGCCCUAUCGUCUCAGGUCUUCGACCGCGUCGCCCGGUCUCACUCGCAGCGAAGCGGCGGCGCUGCCGGUCUCCGCGGAUGUCGUCUGCCUCCUUUCCGGCCACCCUCCCGGCCUCGCUCGCACAUAGUUGUAGCGCUGCUACGCCCGCGCCCAGCUCCUGCCUGCGCGCCCGCACGCGUCGUCCGCACCCACGAUGCCCGACUCCGCCACACGCUCAUCUCCACCGCACGCCGGGUGCCGCCGCCUCUCGUGCCCGCGCCGGCGGGGCCUCGGCUCCAGAUCCGCCACCAACGACGCCCCCAGCCACCUCCCGCGCGCCCUUCGCCGUCCCGCUGCUCUGUGCGGCCGUACCGCCUUCUCCGCCUGCCUGGCCGCCCUCCGGCUGCACGCCGGCACGCGCUCGCCCCCGGCUACCGCUUGAACCUAGCGCCGCUCCGGCUGCGGCCGCGCGCGCCCCCGGCCGUGUGCUGUUCCGGCUUAGCGCCUCCAUCCGCCCGCGUGUACCGCCUCCGACCGUCGCGUCCUGCUGCCUCCUGCGCCGCCCUAGCCCGGCUCCGCCGUGGCUGACUCGCCCCGCGCCUCCGCCAUGGCCGACUCGCUCCGUGCCGGCUCGAUCCCGCCGCUCCGACCUGCCACGCCUCCAUGUGCGUCCGGCCGCGCGAUCGCGUGCUCCCACCGGCUGCGCCUGACACCAACACCUCCCGCGAUCCUCCUGUUGCGCGCUCCCGGCCCACCUCCACGUCGCCGGCCUUCGCGUUGUCGCCCACCUUCUCUCCAGAUCCUCCCUCCGGUGACCUCCACAACGCCGCCUUCGCCCUGCCUUGGACCAUUCCCACCUCCUUCCUUUCUCGCUGCAGUCGCCUGUCUCAGCUGCCGAAGCUCACCACGUUUCUCUGCUACUUGACCACGCCCGUUCGCCGCCCGACGCCGCUCACCAUACCCAUCUCUCCCUCCACCACCUCCAUUCUCUGCAGCAACCUGGCUUCGCCACCAGUUGCCGUGGAGGUUUGAUUGGUUUUUGUAUCAUGUUGAAGGGAUUGUAAUUCAGCACAGCUCCUCCAGUUCUUGGCAAUAGGAAAGUUCUCACCUUAUGAGUGAAAUAUAAAAGUAGUUCGAAAUUAUUUGGAAAUGCUUUGCUUCCUGGUGUGAUUAGAGUGAAACAUAGAUUGUAAAUUAAGUGGGAAUCCAUAUUAUCCCUAUCAAAGCAUGCAGGUUUCUUCCUGUUUUUAUUCCAUUUUCAAUCAAUUUCCCUUGUCCCAUUUCUCUCUAGGAUGAGUAUUAUAUAGGGUAGCUACAUUCUUGACAUUGAUAUCGCAAUAAUCUCAUGUUUUUGCAAGUUUGUCUGUAUGUAGGUCAAGUUACUUCAUGCAAGAAUGCCUAAUGGGGAAAACGAGUGCCCGUGGCCGGGAGAGGAACGCAAAGGUGCCCGACGCCUGGUCUCCAUAGCGUUCGAUCUUCUGGACAUUGUGUUCUAUGAGGUGAGGCUGCAUACUUUCAUUUAUGCUGUGCUAUCUCUCUUUUCCCCAUUCAAUUGUUUGUCGAGUAUGGAGGAGCAUUGGCCAUGAUCAGGCAACCAGGAGGAGCUGCGGUGGUGGCCUUUGAUAGGGAUGGGCUGGCAUUCCAGACCUUGAUCUGGAGGGGAUCAGCGAGUAAGCGCAUUAGGUGAGCCGAUUUGACCCUUUCUCCUACAUUGCUUUGCCACGCUUCUCAGUCGGUUGACUGCCUCAUGGCUAUUUGUAAGAAAAUAUGCUUACAUGUGCAUUGCUAUGGAUUUUAGCUUUAUGUACUACUAAUGACAUAUUCAUGAAUUGUCUCUGUGCAUCUGGAUGGAUUUGCCUUACCACCAUUCAAGUGGACUUGCAUUUCCAGGGACAAGGAUAUCUCAAGGUGAAAUGUGGCAUUGAGAAAAAUUUGAAGGGAAAAGACAUGGACGAGAUAAAUUGGAUUGGUUAAUCUUCUCUGUAAUCCUUUCAUGUUUUUAGUUUAUCUAGGAUCAUCAUUAUAGUUUGAGUACACUUUGCUGCUGUAAAUGCUCCUCCUGAACCCCGACGACGAGCUGCAGCGGGCUUCUAUCCUCUUGAGUGACGAGCUUAGAUGCCCGCCAUCCGUGUCGCCUGAGGUGAUCAGGCGCUCUGUUCAGAAAUAUUAGGGAGUUACGCUGAGUUGUACCUCAAUUCUGAAAAUAAGGUUUUGCUGGGUUGUAUGUCUAUGGUACCUGUAACUAACUUUUAAUUUGCUUUGUGUCUUGAGAAGCUGAAAGAAAACAAGUAUAGAAAUUGUUCAGUUUGCGUUU